AACAAAUUAAUCAAGAACCACCAAACAUGGUCUUAACAUCACCAGAGCACACCUCCGGCUCCGGUUCCGGCUCACCGAAGCGGCUAACUCUGGGCUUGCUCAUGUCCAUAUCAUCCCUCAUGGCUCUCUGCGCCAAGCAUGCAACCAGAGUCUCCACCAAGCUCAAGCCCACGGCCACCAAGUCCACCCACCACCACCAUGACGGCCACAAAACUCCAAAACUAGUGUCGCCGAAAUCGCCUCUAGUCCGCCCGAAGCAGCUGUUGACGCAGAUAAGCAACAAGGCAAUCUCGUUUAUUCACAACAAGAAACGAGCGGACGAAGACGACGACGUUGUGGAGUCUGACGAGUUCGGGGACGGUGGGGUUUGGCAGAAGUCGAUCUUGAUGGGGUAUAAGUGCCAGCCGUUAGAUUUUUCGGGUGUAAUUUAUUAUGAUAGUAGCGGGAAGCAGCUUAACGAGGUUCCUCUCCGAUCACCGCGUGCCAGUCCUAUGCCAGGAUACUUGACUUGCGGGAAAUAGUAAAAAUUGAUGAAACUCAAAUUUAUGUUUCUUUUUUUUUAAUUAUUGUGUGCUGGUGUGGUCAUAGUGAGUUAUGCAAUGAGAAUUGCUAGUUGCAGUCUUUGGGCUAAGAGAAAUACUGUCUUUAGCAACUCUUAAUGGUUACUCAAUCUCAUAGAUAUUUCAAUUAAUGAACAAGUAAAAUAGGCCUUCGUAUCCUCUGGAGAAAGAGAAAUUAAAUUGUCUAUUAUUUCGUCCAUCUUAAUCUUCUAUGUUCGUAGAGAAUCAGGACCACCAUAAGAAGUUGAAUUAGUCUUUUGUUCGCGUAGGAUACGUAGCUAGCUAGAGCUUUCUCAUGGCGUUCUUUCUUAGUGUCUG
rnacentral:misc_RNA from 1 species